rnacentral:lncRNA from 1 species
ACAAAAAUACCACAUUUCCCAAAAGUUUUCUCUCAUACCACUUUGCAAAAAUUGAAAAGACAUGAUUACCCUUCUUUUAUUUCUCUACAAACACAAACAAAUAUCUUCAUCUUCUUCUCUUCUAUAUCGUUUCAUGCUCUCUCUCCUAUUCCUUGCUCUAUCUCUCCUCUUCCUUUCUUUUCUUCGUCUCUCUUACAACUAUUGUUUAGAUCUAAAAUUUGUUUUCAAUUGUUUAGAUCUUUUUGCAUACCCACCAUCGUCUUAUUCUCUUUCUAGAUCGAAAAAUUCAGAUCUGUGAUCCUCAAGAAUACAUCCUUUUGAUUUUCCAUCUAAAUCAAAUUCAUUUUCGCAUCUAAAUAUCAUAAUUACUGGUUUUGAUUUUGUUUCUAAUUGGUUAUUCCACUUCAACUGUGCAGAUUAAGUGUUUGUUGUCUACGAGGAAGUCGAAGACGAAGAUGUCUACUAAAAAACUGAAGACGAAGAAAAAGAUGUCUACGAGGAAAGACAAAUAAGAUGUCUACGAUAAAACCAAAAAUGUAUUCUUGUCCAUACCUUUUGUUACUUUAAAAAUUUUGUCCAUUUACCCGAUUAGAGAUUAUGAGCAGAAGUUACAAACGAUUGUUGAUCCACGAUGUAAGACAAUUUUACCAUUCUUCUUUCUUUCCACAAAACCAAUGUCUUUUUCAUCUCCUCUCUCUACUACUUUUGCAAAACUAACAAAAACGAAUAUAGAAAUUCCAAAAAAGGUGAAGAGCUUUGGUUUGUUGAUAAUUAUUGUCCACAACACAAUAUUUUUGUCUACAAUCUCUAUAUAUGGUUUUUUAGUUGCCAUGUAUAUUCACGGUAUAAUUAUUGUCCACAACACAAAUAUUAUUGUCUACGGUCUGUAUAUACGAUAUUUUAGUCCAUGCUAUGUACAGAGCCGGCUCUGAAGAUAUUAAGGCCACAAGCCCAUUUUUUUUUUUGGCCUACUAUACAUUACUUUUUUUGAAAAAGACUUGAAAAACAGAAAAAAAAAUGAAAUGGGGAUUCGAUCCCUUGACCCUUGGAAGAGUAACUCUUAGUCUUAACCAGUAAAACCAAUGAAACUUUCAGAAAAAUUCGGCCGAAUAUCAACUAUAUAAUUUGGAGGCCACAAGCAGAUGCUUCAUCUGCCUGUGUCAAGGGCCGGCUCUGGCUAUGUAUAUUCACUAUAUAUGUUGUCUACGAUAUCUAUACCCGAUGCCAUUAUUUUAUUUUAAUGGACAAACUUAGUCAUUUCAAUUAUAUUUACAGUAUAAUUAUUGUCCACGAUAUAACUCUCUUACUUUUUUACUUUAAUUAUACACAAAAUGUUUUUUUUUUUUUGUUUUGUGACUUUAUUUCAAUACGCAAGAAAAAUACGUUUAUUAUUAUUAACUGAUUUUUUUGUUUUACUUUUCACCUUCUUUUUUUUUAUAAAAACAUCAUUUUUUUUUAACAGCUCACCAUGUAUAGAAACCAAAAUUCUCCUUCUCUCAUGGGGGCAUUUUCGUCAGAUCACGUUUUCAUUACCACAAGAAUGGUGGCAUAUCUCAUAACUUUUUGAAAAUGUGGUAUUUUGCAUAAGGGACCCAUGGUAGAUAUGAUAGUUUUCCUAUAUCUAAUAGAAAGAGAAAUUAUUGCGUUGGAUUGGGGAUCACCAAUUAUUACCCUCUCGUGGAGGAACAUAACACGAUGAGACAGCGAUCUGCUUGUCUUCCCAACGAUAUUGCUUUUUCUAUUCAUCGAUUGCUAAAUUACUUAUUUUACAAAUAUAUUUCACAACUGAUCACUUAUCUAUAUUUUUCAAUUUUUCACAUAAAUAUUUUGCUUUCUCUGCUAUGAGAUAAAUUUUAAAAUGUAUACAUAACAUAGUUCUUAUUUUCUCGGCAUAUAUAAAUAAAAGAGUACUAGAAAUAGAAGGUGUGGGCAAAUGAGUCCCCAACCACCGCCGAAAUCAUUUGCAAUUUUUCUAAAUAAGAAUAUUAUAAAGUCAGAUCCAAGAUUUUAAUAAUUACUAAUAUUUGGGUCCACCUUAUCUUAUUGUAUUUCUUAUUUUAUUAUUAAUAUAAAUAUAGACAUGUCGCCAUCAAAUAUAAUUUUCGUAAUCAUUUUUUUUGUGAACCAAUUCAUCAUCAUUUCUUCUACUUGUAAAUUUUGUUGUCAAUCAUUUCUAGCAGUUAUUUAAUUCAACAUUAGUAGUCUAUGAGUCUAGGCUAUAUAUAUAUAUAUAUAUAUAUAUAUUACAUCUAUAAUUUAUUUGCACAAAUGUUAAAAAUUACUAGUUUGAAGCUUUGAAUAGGAGGACAGGAGAACAGAACAAGAUGGAGAUUAUAGUUUACAAGUUUAUGUUAAUGCUUUUAUUAUAUUGUAACCGAUAAUCAAUUUAGAUAUAUAUUAUAUAUAAAAAUAACGUUUAAAAACACAUUUAAAUUAAUAGUCGUUAAACAAUAUUUAAAAUAAUAAUUGAUAUGAAAUUGGAGUUUAGAUAUAGAAUAUGCGAUUUCAUAUGUAUUUUCUUUCUUCCCUACUUGGAAUUAUAUAUAUAUAUAUAUAUGUAUGUGUGUGUGUAUUCCCAUAUCAAUGAUAAAUGCUCUUUAUCCAAAGUAAAAUGAUAAAAUGCUUACAUUGGUAGAUAUAACAGAUAAUCAUCAGGAUUAAGAGAUAAAUUAAAUAUACAGAAACAUAGGUUCCAAUUAGUUCAAGUUCUUUUUGUAGAAGAGGCGACUCACUUAAGCUAAAACGUACUUUAAUAUCAUGUUUGCAAGAUAUGUAUACGUAGUCUUUAAAUCCAUAAUUUUGGGGUAUAAAAAAUAAAGCAAUUUUCAAAAAUACCACUUAAGUUUUGGUUUUCAAAAAAUAUCACAUAAGUUUUGGUUUUUUAAAUAUACCAUAAACCUAAAGUUUAGCUUACAACCUUCAAAACUACACCAUAAAAGAUAUAUAGAAAAUCUGAAAUAGUCAACUGAUCAAAUCUAAAAUUUUUAAAUUAUGAACCUUUGAAAAUCAAUUUUUUUUGUUUGUGGUAUUUUUGGAGAACAAAACUUUUGGUGAUAUUUAUAGAACAUUAAACUAAUAGUGAUAUUUUGGCAACAAAACUUGAAAUUUGAAAAUAUGGUAGUUUGAAGAAAUUCUCAAAAAAAUUAACCUAUAUGACACUCAAAUGAUUUAGAAUUAGGCAAAAAAAAUUUAUUAUAACCAAAACACUUUGUAUGAGCCUAAAUACCUUCUUUAUAUGGAUAAAAAAAAUAAUUGAUAGAAGAAGCACCGUAAAAAUCAAUUGGAAAGGUUUUGGACCGAUACAAAAAAACAUUUCAUGUCAGUCUAACACUAUUAUAGUAUGUCAACACUUUUAUAGUAACCGAAAAACAUUUUGAUAGUUCAACACUUGCUACUUAAUGUCAUUAACAUGCUACUUCUGUACUUUUUGGUUUAUUUCACCAAUCAACCCUGGAAAUAUAUUAUAUGCUAAUUGUAAAUAUUACCUCUAGUUUAAACUUGGGUCGAAUAUUUCACUUCAUAGAUGUUGAGAAAAAAAAAACAUAUAUCAGACGGACAAAAAAAAACUCUAUAAACUAGGUAUCUAUAUCCAUUAAGACUUGAAGAUAAUGCCAUGAAAACAAUUUAUAGUACGGAUGAGAAACAAAGAGGCUGAUUAUUUUUAUCUCCGUCAGCUACAAAUGAUCUCACACAUUUUGUCUUUAUUGUUCAACUUGUUUUUUUUAGUCAGAGGUUAAAAAAUCGGCACAAGUUUCUAUUCACACACACAUACACAUAAAUAAAUAGAGAUUUUAUUACUGUUUAAAGUUAGUUGAUACUACAAUAGUAAAUGCGACACACACUAGAGUCACGAAGAGGCAAAAACAAGAGACAUGUAACAAAAAAGACAAGAGCCAAUACUAGUUCCCCAGAAAAUAAAGGUGAUAACUUUUUUUUUUUUUUAAAGUCUAUCCAGUACGAAUCAAUGGCUGGAAAGCCACUUUUGAGAAAAAAAAAUGCUGGAAUGCCACUCAUCUAAUUUUUAUUUCUGAGAGAAUUAAAAAUAAAACAAUUUAAAUCAGAAAAUUAUGAAAAGACCAAAAACCCAAAAAUCAAAUCCCUAAUUUCUCAUUUUUUCCUUUGCUCUUGGAACAGAGGAUUCGAAACUUAAUCGUUUUUUGAGUUUCUCAUUUUUCCCCUUUUACUCAAAAAUCAAAUCCCUAAUUUCUCAUUUUUUCCCAAAUCGAAAAACAACAAAAAUCUUCUCGAAUUCGUGGAAUCGAAUUGAAAUUUUGUCGAGUUCGUCGCCGUGGGAGUGUUGUUUCGUCGAGUUCGUCGCCGUGGGAGUGAAAUUAAUGGAGUGUUCGUCCCCCGAUAGUAAUCCUUUGAGAAUCCUGCCACCGAUAGUAAUGGCUCGUGUAAAGACGGUGAUGAUUUGGUAUACGAGUCGACGGAGAGGCGUUGGAGAGAAGAAACCGCCGGAGAAGAACCACCAACAAAUGCUUCGGAGUUUGAGACUCCAAAAGGAACCGCGGAGAUGGAAGUUGAUCCGAUAGAACCACCAACAGAUGCAUCGAAGAUUGAGAGUCGGAAAGGUACCUCCGACAUGGAAGAGGAUUCCGAGAGUGAAAAAGAAACUCCGAAAGAAACUAAAAUCGAUAAGACCGAGUUAGCCCGAGAGGCUGAGCGAGAGAAUGAUCCAACAGAAGGAGUUGGUGGCUUGAAUGGUUCAGGAGAAGCGUCCAUAGACGCAGUAGAAGGAAGAGAUGGGCCAGAAACAGAAGAACCUCCCAGAGAAACGGAAAAUGUAAUUGUAAUGGAAAAAGGGAUAGUCUCCUCACGAAGCGUUGCAUGCGUCAGCAGCAGCAGCCUCUUGGAGCUGGCCUCGACGAUCCAAUCAACCUGCAUAUUCUAUGGAAGGUGAUCUGAAAAAUGAGGUAUGCGUUCUUACUUGGCAUUGUGCACUCAUGGUCAUGCCAAUUAGAUAGAAUUUAAUGUCCGUUGUUUCACAUGUUUUAAGAAUCCUCUGUUCCUUUCCAUGAAUUUUCUUAUGUUUUCUUUUCCAAUAAUUGCAGAAAUCGUUUUCAUUUGCAGUGAGAGAUUCACUAGUUAAUGUUGGUCCAAUAAAAGAUUUUGCGUAUGGCUUAAGGAUUAAUGCUGAUGCAAACACCACUGGGAUUUCCAAACAGAGCAAAUAUGAAUUGGUGAGCCGUUUAUUUGGAAGUUUUAUAUUAUACUAGCUGCGGAAAUGUUUUGUACAAAAUAUAACUUGCUUAGGGUUGUUAUUUAGUAAUGUCUAUUUUUGAACUAUUCUUUUAAUUAACAAUGAAAUCCUUUGUUCUACAAAUUUUGUAGUUGACAUGCUUGCCUCGUAUUUGUGUAAAAACUGUAAACGCCAUACUAAAUUUUUGUAUUUUGGCGUUGAGGUGUGCUGUUCUAUUCAUGGGAAGAAGUGGAAGGAAGAACUUGAUCAAGAAAUGGAAAGAAAGCGCACAAGUCAAGUCUUGUAUGCAAUCGUUUAUUUAGGUACAACUGGUAUAUUUAGGUACAACUGGUAUAUUUUGGUUUUGUAGUGUUGCUCUGUCAAAGAUAGAGGAUAAAUGGAAGGAAGAGCUUGAUCAAGAACUGGAAAGAAAGCGCACAAGUCAAGUCUGCACGUACUUGUGGAUUAAGAUUGCACAUGACUUAUGUUUUUGUAUUUCAUUUUUGUAUUUUGUUGUGUUGUGGAUUAAGAACAUAUGACUUCGUAUUUUUGUAAACCAAAAAAAUAUUUAGAUUAUAUUUAUGUUCAAUUGGUUUUGUAGGUACAACUAGUCUAUUUAGGUACAACUAUGUGUAUGGAUUACUUAUAAGAAAGUACAACUAGAUCACUUUGGUACAACUGAGACAAUUAAAAAUAACAUUUUAAAAAACAAUUUUUAAUAAAUUUCAAAGAAUUAAAAAAUAUAUAUAUAUAUCCACGUAAGCAUCAUUUUUGGCGGCGGGAUAUUAUUUUUAAUCCACGUAAGCAUCAUUUUGGCGGCGGGAUAUUAUUUUUAAAUCAUCACACGUGUGGUAAAUUGUUUUGUUUUAAACAUAGUUGUACUAGUUGUCCAGUUGUACUCACAUGUUCAUAGUUGGACUUUGGCGAUUUUUGCGUAUUUUCAGUUGGACUUUAAUAAAAAUUAGUAAUUUUAAGUUGGACAUAUGUUGUUACACUAUUAAUUAUCAUCUAAGAAGUUUUCAUAAUACAAUUUGUACGAAAUCAUAAUUUUCACCUAUUUUGUAUCAAAAGAAGUGAUCACCUACAAAGUGUUCCUUGUACUAUAAGGAGUGUUUCAUAUGAAAACAAUAGUAUGCACUAGGAAAAUGAUAAAUUCAAGUUUUAUUUAUUUAAAAUUGUUUCUUUUUUAGUUCAACAUGUUUUUGGAAUCCUUGUUAACUCUAAUUUAUCGUUUUUCUUAUUUGUUGAAUACACAUACGGAUACAUUUAUGGUCUUAGUUGUACCUUGUCAAAACCUAAUUAUACCUAGUUGAACAUAGUUGUAUGAAUACGACAAGUACAUAUACUGAUACAUAUAUGGUUAUAGUUAUAGUUUUAGUUGUACCCAGUAUAUUUAUGGUCUUAGUUGUACUAGUCGGUCCUAGUUGUACCAGUCGAAUCUAGUUGUACCCGGUCGAACAUGGUUGUACAGAAGAAAUACGUAUACAUUUAUGGUCUUAGUUGUACUCAGUCGAACCUAGUUGUACAUAUACGACGAACACAUACAUAUACAAAUAUGUUCUUAGUUCCUUUAUAUUUACUUCCUUUAGACCAACACUCGAUUCCAUAACCAUCGUAUCUUCCAUUGAUCCAAUCUACUUCAUAUCUUCCAUUAACGAAAUAAUAGUACACUCCACUUCCGUUACACUUCCCUCUGUUGAAUUCACCUUCGUAGAAAUCUCCAUUGCUAAAAUAUUGAACUCCUUCUUUGACGACCAGUCUCUGUUCUUCUUCUUUGAUCGGUUCCGGUUUUGUAUCUCCGAUGUACCAUUGAACCGGUUUCGGUUUGUGUUUGAUUCGAGACCUUACGCGAAUCUGUUUGAUUGCGAUUACGAUUUGGUUAAUAACCGCCAUGUUUCUCGAUGCGAAGAACAGAGCAAGAGCGACGAAAAUCAAACCUAGUAACAGAUUCUCCGACGUAAAAAUCUCAUCAACGAAGAAUAGUAAGAAAGACGAGAGACUUAGGAAAGAGAGACAAGCGAGUGUGAAUGCGAGACCCGGUUUAAUUCGGUUAAUAGACCCGAAUGAUUGAACCGGUUUUCUUCUCCUCUGUUUCUCUUCUUUCUCACCGGCUUCUAGAUCUUGUUCACGGCGGGGGUAAGAGAUUUCGUUGAAGUCAUCACAUUCAGUGAUUGAAGAAAGGCUUUGAAUCGACGAUCGAAUCGUCGGAGAUGAUCUGAGUAACGACGAUUGAGUCCUCGUCAGUUUCUUUUGGCUCAUCUCCGUGGAAUAAAAAAAUUGCAAAACAGAACAAGAAACAAAAAAAUUUAAGCUUUUUGAUUUUGAAGGCUUGAGAGUAGAAUCACCACUUUCUUUCUCGAUUUUUCCGGCCAAAUCUUAAACGAUAAUACGUUAACCACCACUGCACCACCGUGCCAAGCAUCGCAAAACGGAGAAGAACACGAGAGAUCUCUCAACUCCAGCAAAAUCUUGUUCUUGUUCGUCGUUUUUGUUCUCCGAUACCGGAGAGUUUUCACGGCGAAGCUCGAUUUCAAUUUUGUUUUAAAAAAAAAAAAAAUAAAUCAGAUAAAUCAUUAAGGGUAUAAGGGUAUUAUCCACUCUAUGGAUGGCAUUCAGACUCAAAAAUGGCAGUCCUGAUUCAUUUUUCUGGUUUAGUGGCAUUCUAGCCUGUGGCUCAUCCAGUACCCACCUCAGUUCUCCUAGAGAUUACUUCACUGAUUAGUAAUCUCUCUGUGUAGUACACUUAGUCACUAGUACUUUUGGAUCUUUCUGUUUUUUUUUUUUUUUGGUUAUAAAACCAGAAGAAGAAGAUAACUGUUUUUUUUUUUUUUUUUUUUUUAAUUUAAUACUUACCAUUAUCAUCAUCUUUGUAGAGAGAUAUGCAUCAUUUCGUCCCUGACUUCGAUACCGAUGAUGAUUAUGUCAACACCAACAAUAAUAAUUCAUCUUUGAAUCAUCUUCCUAGAAAAUCCAUUACUACUAUGUAAGUUCUUUUUCUCAAACUUUUUUUCGAUUUUUAUUUAUUAAUAUUUUAAGAAGAUCUGAGUUUUUAUAGUAUUGAAAACUUUAGGGGUGAAGAUGAUGAUGAUCUUAUGGAGCUUUUAUGGCAGAACGGUCAAGUUGUUGUUCAAAACCAGAGACUCCACAAUAACAAUACGAAGAAACCUUCUUCUUCUUCUUUUCCGACGAAGCUUCUUCAACCUCCGAUUCCUCCUUCUAUGGAUAAUCAUCAGCAGCAGCAGCAACCGUCGUCAGAUCAGAAUCUUUUUAUUCAAGAAGAUGAAAUGACUUCUUGGCUUCAUUAUCCUCUUCGUGACGAUGAUUUCUGCUCUGAUCUCCUCUUCUCCGCCGCACCAACUCCUCCCUGUGCGACGAGUCAUGUGGUCACCGCCGUAAGACCGCCAGUACCAGUACCGUCUUCGUCGAAUGAGUCGAGGCCACCGGUGAGGAAUUUCAUGAAUUUCUCGAGGCUGAGAGGGGAUUUUAGUAACGGUAGAGGUGAAUCUGGACCGAAGACGAUUGUGAGAGAAUCGACUCAGGUAAGUCCUAGCGCAACACCGUCGUCAGCGGCGGCGAGUGAAUCUGGUUUAACACGGCGGACGGAUGGUACUGAUAGCUCCGCCGGACUUAAUCGGAAAGGAAAAGCAGUGGCUAUGACGGCGCCGGCGAUUGAGAUUACCGGUACAUCGUCUUCUGUAGUGUCAAAGAGCGAAAUCGAACCGGAGAAGACGAACUUCGAUGACAAGAAACGAAAAGAGAGAGAAGCCACCACCGAGGAAGCUGAGUGCCGUAGCGAGGUGAGUCAUUUGAAACUAUCGUGCGCAAGUAAGAUUCGGCGCAUUUUAGUCUGGCUUCAUAGAUUUCAGCGCAUUUUAAAAUAACGUUUUCAUUUGGUGGUGUUUUUCUUGAGGUGCAGGAAACAAAACAAGCACGUGGAUCAACAACAUCUACCAAGAGAUCUCGUGCUGCUGAAGUUCAUAAUCUCUCUGAAAGGGUUUGUGUUUUUUUUUGUUUUUCUUAUGUUUUUGUAAUCUUUUUCGAUAAAGAUUUGACAUCGAAUCUAAAGAAUGACGCGAAUUUGGUAACAGAAACGGAGAGAUAGAAUCAAUGAGAGGAUGAAAGCUUUGCAAGAACUCAUACCUCGCUGCAAUAAGGUCUUCGACGAUCUUUUUACUUUCUCAUCAAGUUAGUUUUUAUACAUAAAAUUUGUUGCUGAUUGUUGUUUCUUUGAUUCUCAGUCGGAUAAAGCUUCAAUGUUAGAUGAAGCUAUUGAGUACAUGAAGUCUCUACAGCUUCAAAUACAGGUUCAUUUUCUUGAACAUGUGAUUUUAUUAGUCCACCCAACCGUACACGAUCCUUGAGUAAUGAUUCUGAAGUUUUUCAGUUGUAAAAAUUUAGGAACCAAUAGAUGAUUGUAUUUUUGUUUAAGUUCAUGAAAAUUUAUACUUUACCAUGAGAUUAAUGCAGGUGAUGUCAAUGGGAUGUGGAAUGAUGCCAAUGAUGUAUCCCGGUAUGCAACAGUACAUGCCUCACAUGGCAAUGCGUAUGGGUAUGAACCAGCCUCUUCCUCCUCCUUCCUUUAUGCCAUUCCCAAACAUGUUAGCGGCUCAAAGACCUUUGCCUACACAAACUCAGAUGGGCGGCUCAACACCGCAAUACCCUGUUCAUGCUUCUGACCCGUCAAGAGUCUUUGUACCGAACCAGCAGUAUGAUCCAACUUCGGGCCAGCCUCAGUAUCCUGGUUACAUGGAUCCAUAUCAGCAGUUCCGCGGUCUCCACCCGACCCAACCACCUCAGUUUCAGGUACUUUACUUACCACCCUUCGUCUGUUUCACAAUAGCCUAGUUCCUUUGUUUACAAGUCACAAGAUCUUAUCUUUUUUCUUGUAGAAUCAAGCAACAUCGUACCCAAGUUCGAGCAGGGUAAGUAGUACCAAGGAAUCUGAUGAUCAAGGAAACCACAAAACAGGUUAAUGCCUAGAGCAACAAGAUGAUCUGUUUUCACAAGCAAACACAAUUUUGAGAAAUUGACAGAGAGACCUAACAUGUAUAUUGCCAUCUGUUUCUUGUUUUUGUUUUGUUUUGUUUUGUUUUGUUUUGUUUUGUUCUCUCUUCUCAGGUUGUUAUACUUAGAGAGCUGUACAUGUAAUGAUCCAGAGAUCUAGGAAUCAAUACAUAGAGGUUGCAGAGGCUUAGUGCAGAGAAUAGAUGAGAAAGUUAGGUUCAUAUACAACAAACCCGAUCAUUAUUCUUUCUCGUCUCUUAUUAUUACUUUUGACAAAGCAAAUCUUGAUAAGCUACUAAGGAAUCAAUAUCAGUUAAUAUACACAUAUAUUCCACUCCCAUGGAUUUAACGAUACAAUGCAUGCGCAAACAAAUCCAACAACAAAUGUUUAGUCCUUGCAACUAAGCUGACACAAAAAUGUAAAUAGACUGACAAAAAAACGAACAAACAAAAGUAUGAAAAGUUAAUGAUCCAAUUGGACAAGCAUUGCCCAUUUUGUACUCUCUUUCAUAGGAUUUCUUCAUCUAAAAACGUAGUGAUGUCAACUAAUAUGAUAUCUCCAUGAACAUAAUAUCCAAAAAAUAAAGCUAAAAGAAAAAAAGCAAACAAAUUUCUCAAACCGUUAAGACUUGAUAUCUCCAUGACCAUAAUAAGACUUGAGAAACAUGCAUAUGAAAUAUUGUAUUCGCUAAAUAAAGAAGAUGUAAAAAGAAGUUUUAACAUUAUAGGCUUAUAGCAUUUGAAAACAUCUGUUUUACUCUUUCCUUAACACAUAAAAAUAGAAGAUACACUUGAAGAUUUGUUAAGUAAUUAUGCAUCCUCCUGGUCCUCCAUAGUAAAUUGCACUAGACCACUCCUCACCAACCCCUGAUUUUGUUUCGACUUUAUAACAUUUUGGAGUGUUUGCGAAUAAUAUUAAAUCUUUAGUUGGUGGACUUCUAAUUUUUUCUACUUCACGAUCGAUCACUUUAAGACCAUUCACAAAAGCUGCCUUUUUGAAACCUUCUUGUGGGAAAUGUCCACUUCCCAUGAUUGGGUUUGUGCUCUGUCUCACUGCAUUGAAAACUUCUCCUCCCCAAAACACCCGACUUGCUCCAUUAGCUAAACCAUCAACAUGAAACAAUGAUCUUGGCCAAUACCCAACUGGCUCGUUCUUUAGCAAAAACCACCAGUUUCCUGUAACAUUAUCCUGCUUAAACCAAAAGCAGUAAAGAUUUGGAUUAGAGUUUUUUUUUUUUUUUUUUUUGGUUUUAUAAACCAAAUGAAAACAUUUGUAGUUCUUUGGUUUUGGUUCAUGAAACCAAAUCAAAACCAAAAUUCAUAAAUUUUUGUUUAUUCUUCAUUCGAUUACACAAAACUAAUUUUGGGUUGUUUCCGACCUGUUGAGUUAUAAGUAAACAAAUAUAAUCAUCGAUCUAUAAACAAAUUUGCAUUGGGUUUGGUUUAAGUAUUGCAGUUUGGGCUGGUCGAUAUUUUUAUUACCUUUUUUGUGUCAAUAUACCAAACUGUUACUAGUCAAUAUGAUGGGAUUUGAGAAAAUUGGUGCUAUAUACCUGAUAAAUGAUGGCUUCUAAAUAAUAUUGUUCACCACCAUAAGUGGAAACUGGUUUGGCAAGAGUUCCAAGUGCCGACUUGCUACUCACUUGUACAAAUCCGGGACAUACUGUAUUGUAGCAACCUGUCUUCUCAUGCCCAUCUGCCUGUUUCCAAUCAUAAUUUAAAACCAAUUUAGCCAGUUUGGCUGGACAAUGUAGUGAACUAUCAAACUUUAAAUAUGUUAGAAGAACUUACCGUCCAAUAUGUAAAUAAGCCACUAUGAUUUUGAUUUAGUUUCGGGGACACCUGUGAGAUAUUUAUUUUUUUACAAUUUUACAGGUUUUCUUUUUGAAUUGUUAUGAAAUUUUGAAGUAAUAUGGUUUUGUGACUUACUAUCCAUCCAGCUGAAAUGCUUUGUAAAUUGUUUCUAAGGCCGUUCUCGACAUAUAUACUUGCAAGACUAAAUUGAUCAGGUUCGACAGGCGGAUCCCAUAUAUUUAUGUUUCCCGUUGCUCCAUAAUUGUCUUUAUAGUAUUCAGCUAUCGCAAACUAAGAUAAUCAAAAGACAAAGAAACAAAAAAAAAUCUAAGCACUUGUUAGGGUAUUAAAUGGUCUCAACAAUCUCAAUAAGAAGUGUUUCUUACAUGACGGCUGGUCAUAUUGAGGACGUUAUUGUCUUCUGAAGUUGUAUACUUAAACCCUAAAGAUUUCAUACGUUGAAUUUGUAUAAGUUCUUCAAGUGUAGUUCUUUUAAUAAUCACUGUUCCAAGCGGACAACUUAUGUCUUCAUCUUGUCGAAAUGGUAGAGAACUUGAUUUUUGAGAAGUGAUUUUAUCUCUUGUCCAUUUAGGUAUGGUUGUAGGCUUCAACUGCAUAUGAUAAUUUAAUCCAUUAGGGAAGAAAAAAAGAGUCUUGAAGAGCUUUAACUUGUAUUUUGUAGAAUAAAACCUGAAUAGAAUGGUUUUUGAGCGAAGGAUGAUCAAAGGCUAGCUGCUUUUGAAUGUCGAUGCAGUCUAAUAUAUAACCAUGUUUCGUCUGUCAAUAUACGAGGUAAAAAGAACAUUAAUGUGCUCUGAAAAAGGAAGAAAAUGCAACUUCAAUUGUUGCACUCUUUAAAAAACAAUGUCGAUUCAAAUAUUACUGAGAACCAAAGCCGUUAAGAGUUUUGACCUUUCAGUUUUUUCUUAUCCAAAAUGCAAAUUGGCUCAAAACAAAUACUAUAGCUUUAUUAAAAUAGUUUACAACAACAAAUACUUAUAUCACAGACCGUAUUUGUAGAAAACAACAUAAAUUUUAUCGUUCAACAUAGAAAGUUUAAGAAAAAAGCUCAAUUUACUUGGAAACUUUUUAUUGCUGGUUUAUUAAUAUGGUUGAGUAGUUUCUCGAGCUCUUGUUUCUCCUUUUUCAAUGGUAUUGUUCUUCGACUCUCUGUAACUAAAAUGAGAGUUAUUGUAUAAAAAGUCAGAAGGAUAAGCUUAUUAGUGCAUGACCUCAUGAUAUCAAGGAUCAUAAACUGUUUUUUACAAAAGAUGAAUGAAGCAUAGCAACUAUAUAUAUGGUGCACAUUAAUAUGAAACUAUUAAUUAAAUAAAUUAAAAAUCUGAAAAAAUUAAUGAGGUAUAGAUAACAUAUGAAAAUCAUUAAUAAAGUAAAAUAAAGUCCAUCGUCCACCAUUGGAAAGACAAAUGGUGGACGAUGGACUUUUAAAAUUGUAGGGGAUUUAGAUUUUUACAAAAAAAAAGUAAAAAAACUUUAAGAACAUAUUUUCCCAAUAUCACACUUUAAUUAAUUUUAUUUUUAAUAACAAAGGUUUUUUUUUUCUUAAUACUGACAUCCAUUUUUCUUCUUGUCAUAAUUGUUUUUGAAGCCAAUUAUUUAUGACUUUAUUUUAGUUUUAAAUCAAAAGUCUUAGUUAUUUUAAAGUCUAAAAAUUUUAAAUUAAGAUCAUGUAAGUUUAAGUCCCAACCAAUCAACCUCAAACUUUCAAUGACAAGAGUUCCAGUUUAGGUUUAUUUCAUUCACAUACUAGAUACUACAAAAUAAGAAUUAAUUUGAGUUCAAUCAUAGAUUCUAACUCAUUUUCAUUAAUAACAAACAAAAAAACUGUAAUAAUGUAACACAAAUAUAACAAACAAAUAAAACUGUAACAUGGACUUACCCAUUACACAGUGCUCACAGAAACCUAAUUUCUUGACAUCCUUCUUGUCAAGCAGGCCUUUGCUAGAUAAUAUCUUCAUGUUGUUGAAACUUAAGUGUCCAAGCUUGUUGUGCCAUAAUGCAGUGUUAUAUCUCUGUUCUUCUCAACAUUACAGUUCUCCUGCAUCACAGUUUCUCCUUCCAGCACAUAUAGACCGUUCGUCAGAACUCCACACAAAGCCGUUGUGUUGUUCUUAAAAUAUCCCGCUUUUCUUUUAUCACCUUCAUCAUGUAAAAACGUCUCAUGUAUAAUUUGUUUAUCAUAACCCACAAUUUAGUUGUUGUAUAUAUCACAGUGAUUUAUGAUUAUAUUCUUGGCCUGCUUUGACUGCUCAAGUUUAUUAACUAGUUGCUAACUUUACAAUCUGACUUAUUUUACUAAUAUAUAUUUUCAUUUACUUGCCAUAUUUACUGAAAAUAUUUAUUAAAGAAGAUUCCAACUAAUAUGGUUUGUUGUUAUUGAAUUCUCCACUUUAACUGUUGCUAAGUGUUGAAAAAGUAAAUAUAUUAGAACAAAGUAAAUGUCAUAGAAACAAUUUUUUAUAAAAUUUAUAAACAAAAAAUCUCACUAUAUAUGUUAUACAAUAUCUUAAAAUUUACAUUGAGUUGAUAAGAGAUACCAAAAAUUAAAUUUUACUUUAGGUGAAAUUCAAUCUUAUCUAUAAUUGUAACAAUAUAUGGUUAAUAAUUUUUUAAAUAUUAAUUAAAUUACAAUAUUGGUAUAACAUCUAUAAAAUCUAAUCAAUAUUAUUUUAUUAGCAUGUGUGUAGUAUAUGGAUCAAAUAUUAAAAGAAAAUAAGAGCCUAAUUAAUUAAAUUAGGAUUUUGUUAUAUAUAUUUCCUAAAUUGAAGAUUUGACCCCACUCUCAACUCAUUAUAAAAAGAGAGACUUUCAUAGCUUCUUCAAAAAUCUUAUUCUUCGUUUAACCAACAAAACAAAAGAAAUAUGUCUUCGAACAAGAUUGUGUUGACUAGCUCCGAUGAUGAAUCUUUCGAGGUUGACGAAGCGGUGGCUCGUAAAUCGCAGAUCAUAGCGCACAUGAUCGAUGAAGAUUGCGCCGAUAAAGCAAUCCUGCUUCAAAACGUCACUGGAAAGAUCCUCGCUAUCAUUAUCGAGUAUUGCAAGAAACACGUUGAUGAUGUUGAUAGUGAAGCAAAGAAUGAGCUCGUGAUGACUUGGGACGCAGAGUUCAUGAAAAACAUUGAUAUGGAAACAGUCUUCAAACUCCUUAACGCUGCUGACUAUCUCAACGUCAAAGGUCUUCUUGAUCUCACUAGCAACACCAUUGCAGAUUACAUCAAAGAUAAGAAGGUAGAGGAAAUACGAGAAAUCUUUAACAUCGAGAACGAUUAUACACCUGAGGAAGAAGAAGAGCUUCGCAAGCAGAAAGCAUGGGCAUUUAAGGAUCAAAAUUAAAACCCUAAAGUUCCGUUUUCUAAGUGUUGAUCUCGAUGUUCUUUAAUCUUUGUUGAUGACUUAGCUUUUGUCUCUUUCUUUAAGUGUGUGAUUGCCUUCGUCUCUUUGAUUUCAUGGUUUGUGGCCGGUUCCUUUUGAAUUUCAUGGUGUUAUAAUGUUUAGUAAUCUUUACUUAGAUAUAAUAAGCCAAUGUCUUUUGCUAAUUUAUUUCCAACCAAAGAUCCUCCGGCGAUUCUGAAUUCUUCGCCACCGUUUGGGCACUGAAAAGUUAUCAUAAUACAUGUGUCUUAACUCUUAUCUAGGGUUAAUUUCUCUAUUCCCAAUCUUUUUCUCAAACAUUUAUUAUAAAUUACGAUUUCUUUUAGCCACGUAGUGAAAUUCAUAAUGAAAUGAUAUUUCAAUGCAUAUUUAGAUCAUAUAUCCCAAUGUAUUAUUUACAUUAACUUAGAUCAUGACACGUGUUACAUCACAUAUUAAAUUUUAUUUAUUAACGAAAUCUUAUUAUAUAAAAUAUAGUUUUUAUAGUUAGUAAGUCAUAGAAUCGUGCCACGUGUCAAAUUAAUGGAUUUCAGAUUUUGAAACGUGUAAAUAAAAAAAAUUUCCUUUUAAUAAAAAAAAUAAUUAUAAAAAAUUAUAAUUUAAACAGUUUUAAAAUGUAAAAAAACUAAUUAUAAGGAAAUUGUACCUAUAAUUCCAUAAGAUAUUUUGCCAUCUAGCAAACAAAAGUUUUGUUUUUAACAACUUAAAAAUUGUUAAAAGAAAAAUACAACAAAAUUAUAAAUUUAAACAGUUUUAAAAAUAUUAUAAUAAGAAAACUAUAAGUAUAUAUUUGUUCUUUUGCUUCGGAAUCACGGGACCAUCUCCUCCUCUUCCGCGAGUUUUCCUCUCAGGUUUGGCGCUUGGUUUUCAGCAGGUUAUGCCCUCGUCAGAGGCUGUUUUGCUCCUGGGCAGAACUACUCUCCUGGUCCCGGCGAGCUUCAGCCUCUGCUCCUUCUCUCCUCAGAAAAGUGGCAGCUCAGGCAGUGGUGUAUACUGUGGCGGCAGCGAAAUAAUGUCCUCCACAACUCUCAACGGCUUGCUCCUUCAGUUGUUUUCAAGCUGGUGGAUCGUGAUAUGCACAACAUCAUCUCUUCCAGAAGACUUCGGCGGCGUUGGUGUUAUCUGAUGUUGCUUUGGACUCGUUAGAUUGUUCUAUCUCUAUCUUAGUUGUUAUUGUACCCAUGUUUUUGUUUUUUUUGACAUGGUUGCUCUUGUGUAGGUUUGCUCUCUUGUAAAGCCUCAAACAUUCAUUCAUUAAUGAUAUUUACUUCUUUAGCAAAAAAAAAAAAGUAUAUAUAAAGAAAUUAUAUAUAUUUUUUCCAUAAAAAUAGAAAUUCUAAAAUUGUGCUAAACUUUUUAUUUAUAAGUUACCAAUUGGAUAACAGGUCCUCGUCUUGUCGAAAUGGCAGAGAACUUCAACUGCAUAUGCUAAUUUAAUCCAUUAGGAUCAACGAAAAGAGAAAAUCUUGAAUAGUUUUUACUUGUAUUUUGUAGAAGAAUCCUGAAUCGAAUGGUUUUUGAGCGAAGGAUGAUCAAAGGCUAGCUGCUUUUGAAUGUCGAUGCAGUCCAAUAUAUAUGUAACCAUGUUUUCGUCUGUCAAAAUACAAAGCAAAUAAGUAAAUUGAUGUGGUCUAAUAAAGAAAAUGUUAUUUUGAUUCCAAAGUGAGGUUAAAAGUUGUGGCUAUUCGGGUUUUUUUUACUAAUCUAAAAUGCAAAAGUAUCUUUGGUUCUAACUUCUAAGCAAUAAGUAUAGCCUAGUUUUACAACAUCAAAUUUGAACAGAUAAAACAAAAAUGAAAGAAACUUAUUGAAAUAUGAGUUUUUUUAGUUCUUUCCUAUACACUGUUAUAAUAAUUGAGCUAAUUCAUUUAAUUUCUUAUGACAUAUAAAUUUCCUAUAAUUUUUUUCUUUCACUCAUCCUAAAAAUAUGCUUUUAAAAGUAAUCGUAUACGAUUGCUUGUAUCACAGACCAUAUCAGUAGAAAGAUAAUAUAAAUUUUGACGUUCAACAAUUUAUUUGUUUAAGAGUAACAUCAAAAGUUUUAAAAUUAAAAAGUUAAAUUUACUUGGAAACUUUUUACGUACUACAUGUGUUUUUUUUUCUUUUGAUGGUAUUGUUCUUCGGCUAUCAGUAACCAAAAUAAGAGUAAUUGUUGACAAAGUCAACCAGAUAAGCUUGGUGGAGGACCUCAUAGAAAAUCAAGGAUCUUAAACUAUUAUUACCAAAGAUGAUUGAAGCAUAACAAGUAUAUAUAUGGUCUCACAUUUAUAGGAAAUAAUUAAUAAAAUAAAAAACAAAAUCUGAAAAACAUUAAUAAAAUAUGAAAAAGAUGUUAAAGAUCUGUUAACUAAUUGUGCAUCCUCCUGGUCCUCCAUAAAAAAUUGCACUAGACCACUCCUCACCAACCGUUGAUAUCGUUUGGACGUUAUAACAAGUUGGACUGUUUGCAAAUAACAUUAGACCCGAAGUUGGGGGACUCCUAACUUCUUUUGAAACAUGAUCGAUCACUUUAAGACCAUUCACAAAAGCUGCCUUUUUAAAGCCCUCUUGUGGAAAAUGUCCACUUCCCAUGAUUGGGCUUAUCAUGUUUUCCACUGAACUAAAAACUUCUCCUCCCCAAAAUAUCCGAUUUGCUCCAUUAGCUAAGCCUUCAAAAUGGAACAAUGAUCUUGGCCAAUACCCAAUUGGCUCGUCGCCUAGCACAAACCACCAAUCUCCUGUAUAAUAAUCCUGAUUUAACCAAAAGCAUUAACUCUUUUAGAAAUGGCGAUUCAGAUUUUAGUUUUGUUUAGUUUUAUUUUCUUUUUGGAUUAAUAGAAAUUGAAACAUAAUGAAAACAUUUGUAGUUUCUUUUGGUUUUGGUUUUAUUUAAUGCAAUUUCGGUUUAUGAAGCCAAAUCAAAACAAAAACUCAUGACUUUUGGUUUAUAUAUAUACUCAAUUCGGUUUAGACUAAAUAAUUUUGAUUUGUUGGCGGUUUAAGAAGAUAAUACUCAGCGAUCUAUAAACAAAAUUGUGGUUUGGUUUAAAUUAUUAAAUUUGGGUUGGUCAAUAAUUAUUUUAUUACAUUUUUUGGUAAAUAUAUCUAACUAUUACUCUCUCCGUUUCGUUUUACUUGUCGUUUUAGAGUUGAAAUUUUGUUUUAUAAUAGUUGUCGUUUUAGGUUUUCGAUGCAAAUGUUUGGUGAAAAUUCCAGUUUUAUCCCUACUGUUUUAAUGUUUCGGCCAAUGAAUUUUUUUAUAAAAUAUAUUAAUAAAGGGUAAAACAGAAAAUUUAAUGUUUUUCUUAAUUUGUGUGAGAAAACCUUAAACGACAAUUAAAACGAAACGGAGGGAGUAUGUAACUUAUGAGAGUAGUUUGAGAAAAAUGGUGCUACAUAUAUACCUUGAAUAAGCUGACUUCUAACUGAUAUUGUUGACCAUCAUAAAUGGAAACAGGUUCGGCACGAGCUCCAAGAGCGAACUUGCUGCUUACUUGAACAAACCCAGGACAUAAUGUACUAUAGCAACCUGUUUUGUUAUAUCCAUUUACCUAUUUUAAACAAUAAAAAACAAGAUAGUUUAUCCAGUAUAACUAGACUAUAUAUGUAAUAAAUUACCAAAAUUUAAAUAUUUUUGAGGAUCUUACCGACCAAUAUGUAAAUAAGCCACUAUGAUUCUGGUUCAAUUUUGGGGAUACCUGGGGGAUUUUGUUCUUUUCAAUUAUAUAGAUAUUUUGAAUUAUUAUGAAAUAUAAACUAUUAGAUUUUUGACUUACUAUCCAUCCAGCUGAGAUGCUCUGUAACGUAUCUUUAAGACCGCUCUCGACAGAUAUACUUGCUGGACUAAGUUGAUCAUCUUUGACAAAUGGAUCCCAUAUAUUAAUGUUUCCCCUUGCUCCAUCAUUGUCUUUAUAGUACUGAGCUAUCGCAAACUAAGAUAAUCAUAAGGAGAAAACCAAAAUAUAAGCACAUAUGUGUUAGGGUGUUAAGGUCUCAACUAUAUGAGCAAGAAGUGUUUCUUACAUGAUGACGGUUCAUACCGGGGCAGUUCCCGUCUUGGGGUGCUGGAUACUUGAACCCUAAGGAUUUCAAACGUUGAAAUUGUAUAAGAUCUUCAAGUGUAGUUCUUUUAAUAAUCACUGUUCCAAGUGGACAACUUAUGUCGUCAGCUUGUCGAAAUGGCAGAGAACUUGAUUUUUGAGAAGUGUUGUUAUCUCUUGUCCAUUUAGGUAUAAUUGUAGGCUUCAACUGUAUAUGAUAAUUUAAUCCAUUAGUAAAAAGAAAGAAUCUUGAAUAGCUUUUGGUUGUAAUUCAUAGAAUAAAACCUGAAUCGAAUGGUUUUUGAGCGAAGGAUGAUCAAAGGCUAGCUGCUUUUGAAUGUCGAUGCAGUCCAAUAUGUAACCAUGUUUCGUCUAUCAAAAUACGUACAAAGCAAAAAAAAAAAAAAAUGAUGUGGUCUAUAAAAAUGUUAUUUUGAUUCGAAAGUGAGGUUAAAAGUUGUGGCUAUUCGGUCAUUUUUUAAAAUCUAAAAUGCAAAAAUAUCUUUGGUUCUAAUGUAAACAAUUAGAAUAGUUUAACAACAUCAAAUUUGAGCAGAAUAACAAAAAUGAAAAGAGUAUUAUUGAAAUAUGAGUUGUUUUAGUUCUUUCCUACACUGUCAUAACAACUGAGCUAAUUCAAUAUUUAAUAUCUUAAUUAGGACAUAGAAAUUUCCCAUAUUUCAACAAUUUAUUUG